rnacentral:rRNA from 1 species
AGGAUAGGUGGGAGGCUUUGAAGCGUGGACGCCAGUCUGCGUGGAGCCGACCUUGAAAUACCACCCUUUAAUGUUUGAUGUUCUAACGUGGAUCCGUAAUCCGGGUUGCGGACAGUGUCUGGUGGGUAGUUUGACUGGGGCGGUCUCCUCCUAAAGAGUAACGGAGGAGCACGAAGGUUGGCUAAUCCUGGUCGGACAUCAGGAGGUUAGUGCAAUGGCAUAAGCCAGCUUGACUGCGAGCGUGACGGCGCGAGCAGGUGCGAAAGCAGGUCAUAGUGAUCCGGUGGUUCUGAAUGGAAGGGCCAUCGCUCAACGGAUAAAAGGUACUCCGGGGAUAACAGGCUGAUACCGCCCAAGAGUUCAUAUCGACGGCGGUGUUUGGCACCUCGAUGUCGGCUCAUCACAUCCUGGGGCUGAAGUAGGUCCCAAGGGUAUGGCUGUUCGCCAUUUAAAGUGGUACGCGAGCUGGGUUUAGAACGUCGUGAGACAGUUCGGUCCCUAUCUGCCGUGGGCGCUGGAGAACUGAGGGGGGCUGCUCCUAGUACGAGAGGACCGGAGUGGACGCAUCACUGGUGUUCGGGUUGUCAUGCCAAUGGCACUGCCCGGUAGCUAAAUGCGGAAGAGAUAAGUGCUGAAAGCAUCUAAGCACGAAACUUGCCCCGAGAUGAGUUCUCCCUGAGACUUA